rfam:Trichoplax adhaerens isolate Grell Red Sea mitochondrion, complete genome.
GCUUAAAUAGCUCAAAUGGUAGAGCACUAAACUGAAGCUUUAGUGGAGAAGGUUCAAUUCCUUCUUUAGGCA